GACGAACGCUGGCGGCGUGCUUAACACAUGCAAGUCGAACGGGUCUGCCCUGUUUUUUGCGGGGUGGGUCAGUGGCGAACGGGUGAGUAACACGUGAGUAACCUGCCCCUCACUUCUGGAUAACCGCUUGAAAGGGUGGCUAAUACGGGGUGUUCUGGCUGUGCCGCAUGGUGUGGCUGGGAAAGAUUCACUUUUGUGGUGUUUUGGUGGGGGAGGGGCUCGCGGCCUAUCAGCUUGUUGGUGGGGUGAUGGCCUGCCAAGGCUUUGACGGGUAGCCGGCCUGAGAGGGUGGGCGGUCACACUGGGACUGAGAUACGGCCCAGACUCCUGCGGGAGGCAGCAGUGGGGGGUAUUGCACAAUGGGCGGAAGCCUGAUGCAGCGACGUCGCGUGAGGGAUGGAGGCCUUCGGGUUGUGAACCUCUUUCGCCGGUGAAGAAGGUCCUGCUCUUUGUGGUGGGGUUGACGGUAGCCGGGUUAUGAAGCGCCGGCUAACUACGUG
rnacentral:rRNA from 1 species